UUGGUGGGCGUAGGGGCCUACCAGGCGACGAUCGGUAGCUGGUCUGAGAGGAUGACCAGCCACACUGGAACUGAGACACGGUCCAGACUCCUACGGGAGGCAGCAGUGGGGAAUAUUGGACAAUGGGGGCAACCCUGAUCCAGCAAUGCCGCGUGUGUGAAGAAGGCCUGAGGGUUGUAAAGCACUUUCAGUGGGGAGGAGGGUUGAUAGGUUAAGAGCUAAUUAACUGGACGUUACCCACAGAAGAAGCACCGGCUAACUCCGUGCCAGCAGCCGCGGUAAUACGGAGGGUGCGAGCGUUAAUCGGAAUUACUGGGCGUAAAGGGUGCGUAGGUGGUUGAUUAAGUUAUCUGUGAAAUUCCUGGGCUUAACCUGGGACGGUCAGAUAAUACUGGUUGACUCGAGUAUGGGAGAGGGUAGUGGAAUUUCCGGUGUAGCGGUGAAAUGCGUAGAGAUCGGAAGGAACACCAGUGGCGAAGGCGGCUACCUGGCCUAAUACUGACACUGAGGCACGAAAGCGUGGGGAGCAAACAGGAUUAGAUACCCUGGUAGUCCACGCUGUAAACGAUGUCAACUAGCUGUUGGUUAUAUGAAAAUAAUUAGUGGCGCAGCAAACGCGAUAAGUUGACCGCCUGGGGAGUACGGUCGCAAGAUUAAAACUCAAAGGAAUUGACGGGGGCCCGCACAAGCGGUGGAGCAUGUGGUUUAUUUCGAUGCAACGCGAAGAACCUUACCUACCCUUGACAUACAGUGAAUUUUGCAGAGAUGCAUUAGUGCCUUCGGGAACACUGAUACAGGUGCUGCAUGGCUGUCGUCAGCUCGCGUCGUGCGAUGUUAGGUUAACUCUCGUAACGAGCGCAACCCUUAUCCUUACUUGCCAGCAUGUGAUGGUGGGGACUCUAACGAGACUGCCUGUGACAACCCGGACGAAGGCGAAAAAUGACAUCAAAUCAUCAUGGCCCU
rnacentral:rRNA from 1 species